AUGUUGGUGCUGUUUGAGACGCCCACUGGGUUCACCCUUUUCAAUGUUCUGAAUGAGGGCAAGCUCGACAUGGUCGAGAGGUUUAGCAGGUCUGACUUAUGGUCUAAGUUGAUGGUGUUUAGCAAUAUUGGUUCGAUCCAUGCAGAGGUCCUCGCUGUCGUUGCAGUGGCAGGACAAUACGGCGAGGAGCCUCCUCCUCCUCGCGGUGGCUGGCUGUUAAAUGCUUUCGUUUUGUUUUCAUUUUGCCAAAGGUUGGACUGGUAUUUGUUUGGUUUCAUGAUGGAACAAUAUUGCGAGUCAAAUGUGACAUGCAUGAUUGUUUAG
rnacentral:rRNA from 1 species